rnacentral:rRNA from 1 species
GACAGAGGGUGCAAACGUUGUUCGGAAUUACUGGGCGUAAAGCGCGUGUAGGUGGUGGGGCAAGUCGGAUGUGAAAGCCCAGGGCUCAACCCUGGAAGUGCAUUCGGUACUGCUUCACUGGAGUCCCGGAGAGGAUGGUGGAACUCUCGGUGUAGAGGUGAAAUUCGUAGAUAUCGAGAAGAACACCGGCGGCGAAGGCGGCCAUCUGGACGGUGACUGACACUGAGACGCGAAAGCGUGGGGAGCAAACAGG